ensembl:lncRNA
GCAUGACCCUGGGUCCAGUCAAGCCAUCCACACUGUACAUGACUGUAGCGUUCUGACUGGGCAUUGUCUAUUUUUGAAGUAUUGUGACCAAUAAUUCACAUCCUGCACUUGGGUAGGUAUGGAAGAAGCAGACCUGGUAAAGGAACGACUCCAAGUCAUAAUGGAUAAGAGAAAAGUCCAAGAAGACAUUACUCAUAACAAGCUAGAACUAGACAAGGAGAAGUUGAAGCUUCAGCACUUAAAGAAGAGGUCCCUAAGGAACCAAUGGCUAAUGGAUGGAGUGAGCAACCAGACUGUACAGCAAAGAGAGACUUUGAGGGGAGAUAAACAACAAACUAAACUCCUCCAGACCACCAUCCGCAGUGUUUGGACUAGGCCCCUUUGUUCCAGUGAGGUGUCAUCAUAAUGUUACAGGAUACAAAGUGUCAUGGUGCGGUGAGCAGCAGCGCCACCGUGCCAUAUAUUCUCAAGUUCCCAUAGCGCACGAACACAUCCCGGACUGUCACAUGUCUCCAAUCUUUCAAACCAGGUCCCAAUUGUCAUCAUUUGUAUGUGUAUAUAUGUUUCCCCUCUGCUCCCCACAUUGUGGAUCAUUGUUGCUGUUCGUUUAAUGGUGAGUGUUGCUUGUUUGUACUGUCUGAAAAUUGCCUGUUAAGAUGCAUGUUGCACACUUUUAUUUCAUUCAGUCGUUUGUAGAGUUUUCCGUUUGUGUUCGGUUUGUUUGUAUGGUUAUUAAACCCACGAAUGUGAUAUAUGCCUGCACCUGGUUCCUUGCCAACACGACACCAACUAGAACCGUUACAGAAUGAUCCACCAAAACCUGAACCAGCAGGCAGUCCCUCCAGGACUGAGGCCUCC